UUUUCCAUAGAAAAUCCGAGCUUUAAAACGCCCUGGUUGGACCCCUACAUGUAACGUGAAAAGGGGUCGCGCCUUCCCAUGUUCUCGAUUAGCAAUCAUUCUUGGAGCUCGAACGUGGCGGCAGCAGAAAUCGAUCUGCGUGCGGGCACAGCGUCACGUGCCCAGAUCCGUAUGUGGAGAAGGCCAGAACAGGAGGCAAAAGUCUCCGCGGCCCCAGUGGGACCAGAGGAGAGGAUUCCUACAGUCGGCCGAACUGCAGCUCUUGCAGCUUCCCGGCUGUUUUCACGCGGGCGGAACUCAAUCGGCGGCGGCCGGGGUCACCGAGCUGGACGACUUGACUGGCUGAUCAAAAGGCAAAGGCCUGGGAUCAGUUCAUUUAAAAGCUGUGUUUGGUGAUUGGCCCAGUAGCCAUGAAUUAUUCACGAUUUAUAACUGCAGUAAGUGCAGCAAGAAAGGCCUCUCCAAUCAGGCUCCUCACGGAACUGAUGCAGAGGUCUCCCCCAUCGCUUAUUUCCCUGGCUGGAGGGGCACCAAAUCCCAACACUUUUCCUUUCAAAGCAGCCAGCAUUACUGUUGGAGAUGGAACAACCGUUGAAAUUGGGGAAGAGUUGAUGAAGAGAGCCCUCCAGUAUUCUGGCUCAGCAGGCAUUCCAGAGUUGUUGUUGUGGCUGAAAGAUUUACAGAAGAGUCUCCAUAACCCUCCAACAGCUGACCGUAGACCUGAGGAAGGACAAAUGGAGAUAUGUGUCACCACUGGCAGCCAGCAAGGCUUGUGCAAAGUGUUUGAGAUGCUCGUUAAUCCUGGAGACACUGUCCUUUUAGAUGCACCUAGCUACCCUGGGACAUUGGCAGCUCUGAGACCGUUGGGCUGUAACAUUAUCAGUAUUCCCAGUGACCAAUAUGGUAUUAUUCCCAGAGAUCUGAAAGAAAUUCUUUCCAGAUGGAGUCCAGAAGUCACAAGAAAACUCAACAGCAAACUCCCCAAAUUUCUCUACACAGUUCCUAAUGGCAGUAAUCCCACUGGAACCUCAUUGACAGCAGACCGCAAAAAAGAGAUCUAUCAGCUUGCCAGGCAAUAUGAUUUCCUUAUAAUAGAAGAUGAUCCAUAUUACUUUCUUCAGUUUAGUAAGCCUUGGGCACCAACCUUUCUUUCAAUGGAUGUUGAUGGCAGAGUUGUGCGGACUGACUCUUUUUCUAAGAUCCUCUCUUCUGGGUUAAGAAUAGGCUUUCUAACUGGUCCCAAACCUCUCAUUGACAGAGUUAUUCUACAUAUACAGGUCUCUACAAUGCAUGCCAGCACUUUCACUCAGCUUAUGAUAUUCCAGCUUCUUCAACAGUGGGGUCAAAAAGGUUUCUUUGACCAUGUAGACAGAGUGAUAGAAUUCUACAAGACACAGAAGGAAGUGAUGCUCACUUCAGCAGACAAGUGGCUAAAAGGCCUAGCAGACUGGCAUGCCCCUGCUGCUGGAAUGUUUCUCUGGAUUAAAAUUAAAGGAAUUUCUGACACACAGCACCUAAUAAUGGAAAAGGCUUUGGAGAAACAAGUAUGAAAAAUACCAACUAGAUGUAACGUAAUACUUGAAGAAAGGUGCUCUAACAAGGGCUUGUAUCCUCCCAUUCAUUAAGACACACACCCCAACAAAAGCUGGGGAGUUUGGUGGGCUGCAGCUGGUGGGAGAAGCAGGAAAAUCCUGUUGUAAAGUAUGCCAUUUUUUGAUCAUGUAGGAUACAAACCAGCACAUAUAGUUCUACAAUUUGGAAGGUUACAACAAGCUUAUGACUGAACCCAAGGGAUUUCUUUUUAGGUGCUGUUAGUUCCUGGGCGAGCAUUUAAUAUCGAUAGUUCUGAACCCAGUUCAUAUGUCAGAGCCUCCUUCUCAUUAUCUUCUCCAAGCCAAAUUGAUCAGGGUUUUCAAAGGCUGGCAGAGCUCAUCAAAGAAGCUAAAUGAUUUCAC